rnacentral:rRNA from 1 species
AACGAACGCUGGCGGCAGGCUGAACACAUGCAAGUCGAGCGCCCCGCAAGGGGAGCGGCAGACGGGUGAGUAACGCGUGGGAAUCUACCCACCUCUACGGAAUAACGCAUGGAAACGUGUGCUAAUACCGUAUACGUCCUUCGGGAGAAAGAUUUAUCGGAGAUGGAUGAGCCCGCGUUGGAUUAGCUAGUUGGUGGGGUAAAGGCCUACCAAGGCGACGAUCCAUAGCUGGUCUGAGAGGAUGAUCAGCCACACUGGGACUGAGACACGGCCCAGACUCCUACGGGAGGCAGCAGUGGGGAAUAUUGGACAAUGGGCGCAAGCCUGAUCCAGCCAUGCCGCGUGAGUGAUGAAGGCCCUAGGGUUGUAAAGCUCUUUCACCGGUGAAGAUAAUGACGGUAACCGGAGAAGAAGCCCCGGCUAACUUCGUGCCAGCCGCCGCAGUAAAAC